rnacentral:rRNA from 1 species
ACGCGAGCUGGGUUCAGAACGUCGUGAGACAGUUCGGUCCCUAUCCGUCGCAGGCGUAGGAAAUUUGAGAAGACCUGUCCUUAGUACGAGAGGACCGGGAUGGACGUACCUCUGGUGUACCAGUUGUCCUGCCAAGGGCAUGGCUGGGUAGCUAUGUGCGGAAUGGAUAAGCGCUGAAAGCAUCUAAGCGCGAAGCCAACUUCAAGAUAAGAUUUCCCACCGCAAGGGUAAGACCCCAGAAAGACUAUCUGGUUGAUAGGUCGAAGGUGUAAGUGCAGCAAUGUAUUUAGCUUAUCGAUACUAAUAGGUCGAGGACUUGACCAA